rnacentral:misc_RNA from 1 species
AAGACUAUAGACCUGCGGAGUACCUGCGGAAGGAUCAUUAACGUAUCUCUGACGGGGUGCGGUGCGCCCUGCUCCGGCCGAUCUGCGCCGUGAAGCGGGUGCGCCGCCCCCGUCCACACCUCACAAACCCACUGUGAACAUUCCUGGCGGACGGGGGCUCGGUCUGUGCCGUGUUCCCCCUGAGGCCACACACACCCAAACUCCAGUUGCAAAGAAUGUCGUGCGGACUCUGUGCCGCCU